CCAAUAGCGUAUAUUAAAGUUGUUGCAGUUAAAAAGCUCGUAGUUGAAUUUUGGGUCUGGCCGGGCGGUCCGCCCUCCGGGUGAGCACUGUUCCGACGCCGGGCCUAUCCUUCUGGUGAGUCGGCAUGCCCUUCACUGGGUGUGUCGGGGAACCAGGACCAUUACCUUGAAAAAAUUAGAGUGUUCAAAGCAGGCGCAAGCCCGAAUAGAUUAGCAUGGAAUAAUGAAAUAGGACGCGUGGUGCUAUUUUGUUGGUUUCUAGAACCGCCGUAAUGAUUAAUAGGGAUAGUUGGGGGCAUUAGUAUUCAAUUGUCAGAGGUGAAAUUCUUGGAUUUAUUGAAGACUAACUUCUGCGAAAGCAUUUGCCAAGGAUGUUUUCAUUAAUCAAGAACGAAAGUUAGGGGAUCGAAGACGAUCAGAUACCGUCGUAGUCUUAACCAUAAACUAUGCCGACUAGGAAUCGGGCGAUGUUAUUCUCAUGACUCGCCCGGCGCCUUAUG
rnacentral:rRNA from 1 species